GAACCCGGAUUAGAUACCCGGGGUAGUCCUGGCUGUAAAGGAUGCGGGCUAGGUGUCGGGCGAGCUUNCGAGCUCGCCCGGUGCCGAAGGGAAGCCGUUAAGCCCCGCCGCCUGGGGAGUACGGCCGCAAGGCUGAAACUUUAAAGGAAUUGGCGGGGGAGCACUACAAGGGGUGGAGCGUGCGGUUUAAUUGGAUUCAACGCCGGGAACCUCACCGGGGGCAACGGCAGGAUGAAGGCCAGGCUGAAGGUCUUNCCGGACACGCCGAGAGGAGGUGCAUGGCCGCCGUCAGCUCGUACCGUGAGGCGUCCACUUAAGUGUGGUAACGAGCGAGACCCGCGCCCCCAGUUGCCAGUCCUCCCCGCUGGGGAGGAGGCACUCUGGGGGGACCGCCGGCGAUAAGCCGGAGGAAGGAGCGGGCGACGGUAGGUCAGUAUGCCCCGAAACCCCCGGGCUCCACGCGCGCUACAAUGGGCGGGACAAUGGGAUCCGACCCCGAAAGGGGAAGGGAAUCCCCUAAACCCGCCCCCAGUUCGGAUCGCGGGCUGCAACUCNNNNCGCGUGAAGCUGGAAUCCCUAGUACC
rnacentral:rRNA from 1 species